UACUACCCCACAUGCUAUUGCCCCGUCAAGAGACGUUUUUGACUUUCGGCUAGGCUCUCUCUCUCUCUCUCUCUCUCUCUCUCUCUCUCUCUCUCUCUCUCUCUCUCUCUCGCCUUGAUGCAUUGCACGCUAUAUAGCGACGGACAAACCAACGCAUCUCUGUUCAGAACAUCAGACUCGAUCGGUUGGUACCUCCAAGUCCUUUGACUUGUUGUAACCAUGAGGAGAUUAUCAGAAAGCUUCAGAUUCAUGCUACUAGUAGUAGUACUCACUCUGUUACUGACAGGCCUCUGCCAUGGCCGGCGAAUCCCAAGCGCGGAGGCGGUCAUGGCGCACGACGUCGAGGCGCCGCCGGGCGAGGGCUUCUCCAACAAGCACAAGCAGCAGGGGCCUCGUUGGAGGCGCGUGCAAGACUUGUCCGAGUCCAAGAGAAAGGUGCCGCAGGGGCCGAACCCGCUGCACAACUGAAGGCCCAGCUCGAGUGCUGCUCUGGAUGAACAGUCUUGAGCCCACGGCCACGGGCAGGAAGCAGAGAGGGAUUUUUGUAUUGGUAGUAUACAUGUAAGCUAUUAGCAGUAGUGGUCGAUCGAAUUAAGUAGCAGCGCAGACUUGAGAUCGUGGUUUACGUGUGUGUGUUUAUUCCUGGAAUGGCAAACUGAUUUGAGAGAUGUGUUGUUAGCUGGAAAUUCAAUUCGCGACA
rnacentral:lncRNA from 1 species